AAUUUAUUUAAGCAUUUUUUUAGAUCAACAGUGAUGUGAAGAAACACUCGGAACAGUGUAAUCCCGAUAGGUGGGAGCGGCGUGGCACUGCCUGGUGGUGGUGGUGGUGAGUGAUGACCCAGCCUUCCUCGCCGCCUUCGCUCACCUGUCACUCAGGCGUCACGCCCUCAGGUGGUCCACGAGGAUCCUUGUUCUCACUCGCCUCCCUCUUAACCACCUUGGCGGCCUGCACGGCCUUCUCUCCACCAGGAACGCCAUGCUGCUGCACGUACAGGAGGGCGAGGAGGCUGUCAGUCAGGUGGGCGUGUUGGUGUGGCAGCCGUACAGCGCCGCCGGCAGCACGCCCAUGAGGGUGGCCACCUGGACGCCACACGGGAGGCUGACUCUCGCCUCCCACGUGUCGCUCUUCCCCAACAAGUUCUCUGUGUUCAGCUCCGCCCCGAGCCUUACCGUGGCGGUGGAGCUGCUGCCUCACACAACACUGGUCUGGGUGGACGACCCGGACGCUCCUGGAGGUCGUCGCCUGGAAUACUCGGGUUAUAUAAACAAUAUCGUGAGGUAUCUCGCCGAGGCAAUGAAUUUCACGCCCAGGUACGUGCUGUCCCCCGAGAGAACCUUCGGCACCAGGCUGCCUGACGGCUCCUGGACAGGCAUGAUCGGCAUGGUGGUGCGGGAGGAGGCUGACUUCGCCACAGGCCCCUUCAUCAUGACGCUGGUCAGGAAGCAGGCAGCAGACCCUUCGACAACGUUUUAUCACGGCAACGUAAGAAUAGUGGGCGGCCUGGCUGGCUUAAGGGUAGACCCGUGGAGCUUCAUGCUGCCCCUCACGCCCCUGGUGUGGACAGCCACCCUGACGGCGCUACUGGGGGUGCUGGCUGCGUUACAAGUCUUUUCCUCUUGCAUGUCAAAUAAGACGCAUAAGGUGCCAUGCUACGAUAGCUGGUCCGCCAACACCUUCAGCCCUGUCCGCGUCUUCCUACAGCAAGGUGAGGCCUCGGGGACUGUGCUGGGGCACCCCCUACGGGGGGCUGCCUUUGCGUUUCCGUGCUCUCAGGGAGCAGCAGUCGUGCCCUAAUGAAGACUAACUCUGCCUCACUCACUCCCAACGCAGACGUGGUGCGGCCCGCGGAGUGGUGGUGGUGGGAGCGUCUGGUGCUGGGGCUGUGGAUGCUGACGACGCUCGUGCUGACCAAGAGCUAUGCCGGCAACCUCAUGUCCCUGCUGGCCGUGAGAUACGUGCCGCAGCCCUUCCAGACUCUGAGGGACGUCCUGGACCACCCAAGCGUCGCCAUGAUAUGGCAGAAGUAUUCCAGUUACGAACAAUUCAUCAGGGUAAUGUACUUGUGUAACAUUUUUAUUUUCCCAUAGCCGUACUCCUUGAGCAAAAGAUUCCCAAAGUGAUGGAACAUUGAAAGGAUUCCCAACGUUUUGGAAAUUAAAAGUAAGUCCAACCACUGAAUUUUGUGGGCGGGUUGAAGAUCUAAUUGAUGAAGUCCUUCCCCCAGGACGUGAAGCACGGUCAGUUUCGCGAGGUAGCAGAGUUAGAGGACAAGGGCCGCCUGGAGUUCCACACCCAGCAGGAGAUGAAGGAAGGCCUGGACAUCCUCGUGAGGACAGGAGGCCACGUGCUCAUUGACGUGGACAUCAGUUUGAAGAGUCGCAUUGCUUUAGACUUUUCUGAAAAAGGCCGGUGUGACUUUUACAUGUCAAGGGACGGGUUUCUGCCCUUUUCGUCUGCUAUGAUGACCCAGAAGACCAAUCCUCUCGUCCACGGAUUCAACAAAAGGUUUCAUACGCUAACAGAGCACGGCCUAAUAACGUACUGGAUGGAGAACGUGCCAAAUUUUACCCAGUGUGAAAACAUUCCCAAGAAAAUGCUGGUCAACUCAAGCAUCUUUCUUCACAACAUCUGGGUGAGAGCACAACCCUUUCGCUGUUAAGUACGAUGUGACAAUUGUGAUUUUGGUCAUAACUAGAAUAUUCUAAUGAGGAAAAACAGAGCUACGGCAUUGAUUUCACUAACCAAUCGAUCAUUUCUUCAAAUCAUACACCAAGCUUGCGCCAAAUAAGAAGAUGAGGAGUCAAAGAUGAAAUGUUAGACCCGAUUCAAUAUUAAGCUUUAAGAGAAGAUUAGAAUGAUUUAAAGCUUAACAACUGUCGUUCUGCCAUCUUCCUGCUUCCCCUAUAGUUGUGUUUCUGCAGGUUUGAACAACAAAUACAAGAACAGACAUUUGAUGCAUUAAGAGUCCCGCGUUGUGUUGUCCUGCAGGGAGUGUUUGCAGUGCUGGCCGGGGGUCUGGCUGCCGGGGUGCUGGUCCUGUGUGCUGAGGUGCUCGUCAGCCUAGCCCCCAAGCCUUAGCAGCAUCAAGUAAGAGGACAGGAAGAAA